UGUUUUUUGUUCUUAGUGAUUCCCAGGCAUCUAAAAUAUGCUGCAACCCACAAGUACCCAAAACGGAUGAAACAGAAGCCAGACCCGCAGGCAGCCCUCUGAAAAGCUGGAAAUGUCGGAUAGAGACAGCAACUCUUUUUCCUCCCCAGCAGGAAGUCAGGAGUUAGGAGUUUUCUCCCACUUGUGCUGUGCUGAACUGGGGGUAGGGGAGGAUGGCAGAAUGGCCCUGUCUGAGAGAUAUGUUACCCUAAACACCAAGACUCAAUAUAUAUGACUUAAGAAAAAAAAGAUCCUUAUGCACUAUCUGAAGGUGAUGCUUCCUGACUUUUGCAACAGAAAGAAUGCUGUCUUCCUGUGCCUGCGGAGAUGAUAAUCAAGCUGGCACACUGACAAUCAAUGUAAAUUCAUUAAACAAAACAGGAAGUAAACAGGUAGGACAUCUUUCUCCUCUGUGCUCCUUCCUUUUCCUCAUGAGAGAAGAAUGGACUAACCUCAUUGGUGAGUUUG